rnacentral:rRNA from 1 species
AGAUAAUAGAUACCCUGGUAGUCCACGCCGUAAACGAUGGAUGCUAGCUGUUAUCAGUAUCGACCCUGGUAGUAGCGAAGCUAACGCGUUAAGCAUCCCGCCUGGGGAGUACGGUCGCAAGAUUAAAACUCAAAGGAAUUGACGGGGACCCGCACAAGCGGUGGAGCGUGUUGUUUAAUUCGACGCUAAGCGAAGAACCUUACCAAGGUUUGACAUCUCGGGAAAGUCUCCGAAAGGAGACCGUGCCUUCGGGAACCCGAUGACAGGUGUUGCAUGGCCGUCGUCAGCUCGUGUCGUGAGAUGUUUGGUUAAGUCCAUCAACGAGCGCAACCCUUGUAGUCUGUUGUAUUUCUCAGGCUAGACUGCCCCGGUAACGGGGAGGAAGGAGGGGAUGAUGUCAGGUCAGUAUUACCCUUACACCUUGGGCCACAAACACGCUACAAUGGCCGAUACAAAGGGCUGCCAAGCAGCAAUGCGGAGCAAAUCCCAUCAAAGUCGGUCUCAGUUCGGAUUGUUGGCUGAAACUCGCCAGC